ACUCCUACGGGAGGCAGCAGUGGGGAAUAUUGNACAAUGGGCGGAAGCCUGAUCCAGCAACGCCGCGUGAGGGAUGACGGCCUUCGGGUUGUAAACCUCUUUCAACNNNGACGAAGNGNNANUGACGGUACCCGNAGAAGAAGCACCGGCCAACUACGUGCCAGCAGCCGCGGUAAUACGUAGGGUGCGAGCGUUGUCCGGAAUUAUUGGGCGUAAAGGGCUCGUAGGCGGUUUGUCGCGUCGGGAGUGAAAACCAUGGGCUUAACUAAUGGCUUGCUUCCGAUACGGGCAUACUAGAAGUAUGCAGGGGAAAACU
rnacentral:rRNA from 1 species